UACAGAGGUCUCAAGCGUUUGUUCGGAUUCAUUGGGCGUAAAGGGUGCGUAGGUGGCGCGCUAAGUCAGGUGUGAAAUCUCGGAGCUUAACUCCGAAACUGCAUUUGAUACUGGCGUGCUUGAGGACUGGAGAGGAGACUGGAAUUCACGGUGUAGCAGUGAAAUGCGUAGAUAUCGUGAGGAAGACCAGUGGCGAAGGCGGGUCUCUGGACAGUUCCUGACACUGAGGCACGAAGGCCAGGGGAGCAAACCGGG
rnacentral:rRNA from 1 species